GAUGAAGAACGUAGCGAAAUGCGAUAAGUAAUGUGAAUUGCAGAAUUCCGUGAAUCAUCGAAUCUUUGAACGCACAUUGCGCCCCCCGGUAUUCCGGGGGGCAUGCCUGUCCGAGCGUCAUUGCAACCCUCAAGCGCGGCUUGUGUGUUGGGCUUCGUCCCCCCGUGGACGUGCCCGAAAGGCAGUGGCGGCGUCCCGAAUGGUGCCCGAGCGUAUGGGAACUCUCUUCCGCUCGAACCGGCCCAUUCGGCGCUGGUCGAACCCCAAUUUUUUUUUACCGGUUGACCUCGGAUCAGGUAGGGAUACCCGCUGAACUUAAGCAUAUCAAUAAGCGGAGGA
rnacentral:misc_RNA from 1 species